GGCAGCAGUGGGGAAUAUUGGACAAUGGGCGAAAGCCUGAUCCAGCGACGCCGCGUGUGGGAUGAAGGUCUGCGGAUCGUAAACUCCUGUCAAUAGAGAAGAAAAGCUCAUGAUUAAUACUCCUGAGGCUUGACUUAACCUUUAGAAAAAGCACCGGCUAACUUCGUGCCAGCAGCCGCGGUAAUACGAAGGGUGCAAGCGUUAUUCGGAAUUAUUGGGCGUAAAGGGCGCGCAGGCGGCUCGUUAAGUCAGAUGUGAAAUUUCCGGGCUCAACCGGAAAACUGCGUUCGAUACUGAUGUGCUAGAGGACGAGAGAGAGAAGUGGAAUUCUCCGAGUAGCGGUGAAAUGCUUGGAUCUCGGGAGGAAUACCGAUGGCGAAGGCAGCUUCCUGGCUCACUCCUGACGCUCAGGUGCGAAAGCGUGGGUAGCGAACAGGAUUAGAUACCCUGGUAGUCCACGCUGUAAACGAUGACUACUAGACGUCGGCUCCCAUUUUUUCUUAGGGGUCCAACUUAACGCCUAAAGAGACCCGCCGGGGGACUACGGCCGCAAGGCUAAACUUCAAAUGAUUUGACG
rnacentral:rRNA from 1 species